UAUGAUUCACUGUACCUACACGUACAUUAUCAUUUUUACGUAACCGUUUGUUUUUCAUUGUAUUCACGAGGGCGCUCACGGCGUUUCGCAAAGAAGGAAACACCGUGUUUCCGCGUUUCUCAUGCAAAUCACGGCCCACUAACGUUACCAAUAAGGAUAAAAUUCUGAUGCUCACUUCAGGACCCUUCCCUGAUCAGUUAAUAUAGUUCGGUUAUGUAAACCUCUUACCUGUCCAAGAUCAGUUUCCUCAAGUCGAUUAAAGGACGGAACCACGCGGUCCUAGCCACGUGAAUUUUAGUCCCAUGGAAUAUCAACCACUCGAGCCGAUUUAGACCGGCAAAC